rnacentral:rRNA from 1 species
CAGCAGCCGCGGGAAAACGUAGGGUGCGAGCGUUAAUCGGAAUUACCGGGCGUAAAGCGUGCGCAGGCGGUUGUGUAAGACAGGUGUGAAAUCCCCGGGCUUAACCUGGGAACUGCGCUUGUGACUGCACAGCUAGAGUAUGGCAGAGGGGGGUGGAAUUCCACGUGUAGCAGUGAAAUGCGUAGAGAUGUGGAGGAACACCGAUGGCGAAGGCGGCCCCCUGGGCCAAUACUGACGCUCAUGCACGAAAGCGUGGGGAGCAAACAGGAUUAGAUACCCCAGUAGUCCCUGUCUCUUAUAC